ACGCACGCUGGCGGCGUGCUUAACACAUGCAAGUCGAACGGUGAAGCGCCUUCCUUUUUGGUGGGUGUGGAUGAGUGGCGAACGGGUGAGUAACACGUGAGUAACCUGCCCCCUUCUUCUGGAUAACCGCAUGAAAGUGUGGCUAAUACGGGAUAUUCUGGGUCUGUCGCAUGAUGGGUCCGGGAAAGAUAUUGUUUCGGUGGGGGAUGGGCUCGCGGCCUAUCAGCUUGUUGGUGGGGUGAUGGCCUACCAAGGCGGUGACGGGUAGCCGGCCUGAGAGGGUGGACGGUCACACUGGGACUGAGACACGGCCCAGACUCCUACGGGAGGCAGCAGUGGGGAAUAUUGCACAAUGGGCGCAAGCCUGAUGCAGCGACGCCGCGUGAGGGAUGGAGGCCUUCGGGUUGUGAACCUCUUUCGCCAGUGAAGCAGGCCUGCCUCGUUUGUGGGUGGGUUGACGGUAGCUGGAUAAGAAGCGCCGGCUAACUACGUG
rnacentral:rRNA from 1 species